GGGCUCACUCCAGCAGCACACGCACUAAAAUUGAAACGAUACAGAGAAGACUAUCACAGCCCCUGCCCAAAGAUGACACACAAAUUCCUGAAGCAUCCCAUAUUUUA